rnacentral:tRNA from 1 species
GGCCGGUUAGCUCAGCUGGUUAGAGCGUGGUGCUAAUAACGCCAAGGUCCUGGGUUCGAUCCGCAUACUGGCCA